CUUUUGCUCACUGUAGAGUGAAGGCAUGCUACCCUGUUCCUACUGCAGUACGUAAACUAAAUCAAACCUUGUCUAUCAUCUUCAAAGUUAUACCUCAUCAGGAAAAAGACCAUUUAUCAAGCUGGUAUAGAAGGCCUUUCUAGAUCUAAAGGAAACUUGAAGAGUUAGAAAACAGCUGAGCUGCCUCCCCAUGUUUUGAAAGGUAUUAUACAGCUAUAAGAUGUUUUACAUCUCACUUUUUUGCACUGACUCUGUCUAUGGACUCUUGUAUUAUCUAGAGUUUCUGUCAUGCUGUCAGAAAUUGGAGAGUCUUCAAUGAUGACAACUCUUUAUAGCAGCACUUGUAUAUAUUAAAAUCUUCACGAGAAUGUGGAUGGGAAUUAGAACUACCCUAAAGGGGAAAAUUCACAAUCAACUUUUCAGAGGCAGCGGGAGCAAAAGUAGUUGCUGUCUCUCCAUGCCAUUCAUUCUUAUCCUUGGAACAGCAAACUGAGCUAGUUUGGCAGAAACACUUGUAUUAGCUGCUAUAUGAUGAGCUGGAUUGUGUAAGGAGGAAGGUGGCAGAGAGCCAAAAACAAAUGACUGAGAAACUGCUGGUAUCAGUUAUCCAAGGUUGCUUAAGCAGUUUCUCUGUUGAAUUUUCAGCCAUGGUCUUGCAAUUCAGAGUUGAGAUUUCUGGCAGAUCAGAUUUCAGGUUUCCAUUCAAGGCAUUAUCACAUACAUCUGGGUCCUGGAAACAAUCUCUGUCUGGGUUUGGUUUGGCUGUUGCUGAAGCCACAGGAGUUUGUUCACAGAACCAAAGAAUUGGAAAGGAAUCAAACUGAGCUUUACAUGCUGAUUUAUCUUUAAGUUAUGUUAUUUUUAGUAUGGGCUUAGUUUUUGUGUUGGAUUUUGUGUGUACCCCACUGCCUAGCAGGUUUUACAGAAGAUAGAGUUGAGAAAGAAAAUGCUCUUCUGCUAUUUACAGGAUGUGAAAACAAACAAGAAAAAGGUUCAAAAACAGACCAGUUGCACUUGCAGUGCUGGAAGAAAAGCCCAUCUGUGUUGCGACAUCCACAUGAUAGUUUACUGUCACUCUGUAUAAACUCAGCUAUUUACUUACACAAAUGUAAUUCAGACUAUUCACUUGGUAAAUAUCACAGAUUUCCAUUGGAUAAUGGAGAGUUGAUGAGGCUGAUUUAGUUAGACAUUUUAAUUAAUAGUUCAAAAAUGCCUUAGCAAAGGAGCAUCAUCAAUUAUCUCAUGACUUUUCAUUGAGAGGAUUUUUUUUGUUGUUAGUCAUUCAGAAGUUCAGGAUCCUGUUUCAAUAAUCAGAAAACAUCUGUAUUUAUAAAGAUAUGGAGAUAUUAUAAAAAGGAAAAAAAAUUGUGGCUGGUUAAAAUAAACGUCAUAGACUGGCAGGCAUAAUGAAAAUACUUCAUUUACUCUACUAUUAAAAGUUAAUGAUGUGUGUAUAUAAUAACUUAAAAUCUAAUGUAUUUGAGUGCUGGCUAUGGAUUUUCCAGAACAGCUGGAUUCAACAUGCAUGCUAAUUCAGAGAGCAGCUGGAUUCCUCUCUGUUGUUGUGAAUAGGUGGGAUUUAAAGGGGAGAAUGCUACCUAAUGCCAAACAUAAUUUGCAAACCAUUGUAUCCUCUUGGGAUGUUCUGAUUGAAUUAAGAGGCUUCAGCUAGUUCAGUAAGUGCAGUGUAAUAUGUAACAGAAGAUAUUGUUCGUUCCAUGUCACUGUAAAC
rnacentral:lncRNA from 7 species